UUACAUUAUAAUAUAUCCCUGAGUAACCCAUAAGCCUCCUGAGAACCCAGACCAUGAGUAACGUACACAACUUUAUAAUUAUGGUUUUUCUUCACAAUAAGAGCAUUAGUGGUUGAUUGAUAUUUACUGUUAUCAGUGAUAAACAUUUAGGAUAUAUAGUCUAGGCAUGCGUAUGUGAAUUAUUGGGUCACUUGAUCUUUAUGAAUUAUAGUUCAGAUGAAAUCUGAGUACAAGCAGAAUUUCCAAUGGUAUAGAAGACAAAAAAAUUUAGUGUCUAGUGAAAGUAAAAAGAAGAAAAACAGAGCUAAGCCAAGGAAAUGAUUUCUUUCCCACCUACAAUGCAUGAAAAGAAAUUAACAUGAAAAGGGUCUGAGGAAGACAUUAAUAUUUUGAUAGUGGCAGAAGAAUGUUAUUUACAAAAAUAAUGACAAAUGUUGAAGAGAAAAUACAGGCUUCCUAGCAACUAGACCAAAGAUAAGACC
rnacentral:lncRNA from 1 species